GAUGAACGCUGGCGGCGUGCCUAAUACAUGCAAGUCGAGCGAAUGGAUUAAGAGCUUGCUCUUAUGAAGUUAGCGGCGGACGGGUGAGUAACACGUGGGUAACCUGCCCAUAAGACUGGGAUAACUCCGGGAAACCGGGGCUAAUACCGGAUAACAUUUUGAACCGCAUGGUUCGAAAUUGAAAGGCGGCUUCGGCUGGCACUUAUGGAUGGACCCGCGUCGCAUUAGCUAGUUGGUGAGGUAACGGCUCACCAAGGCAACGAUGCGUAGCCGGCCUGAGGGGGUGGUCGGCCACACUGGGACUGGGACACGGCCCAGACUCCUACGGGAGGCAGCAGUAGGGAAUCUUCCGCAAUGGGCGAAAGUCUGACGGAGCAACGCCGCGUGAGUGAUGAAGGCUUUCGGGUCGUAAAACUCUGUUGUUAGGGAAGAACAAGUGCUAGUUGAAUAAGCUGGCACCUUGACGGUACCUAACCAGAAAGCCACGGCUAACUACGUGCCAGCCGCCGCAGUAA
rnacentral:rRNA from 1 species